AAGCCUCGCCCACGACUCAGGAUAAGCUAUUUAUUAUUUUCCCGACCCUCCGUCCCUGGAUCGGCGAUGCCGGCGGGGCCGGAGGCGCCCCGGGAGAUUUUGCGGCAUCGGGAUCCGGCGACGGAUUCAGGAGCUCCCCCCAUCCACCCCAAAGCUUUAGUGUUGGUUUUUAAUUGGGGGGUUGGUUUGGUUUUUUUGGGGUUUUUAAUUGCUUUUUUUUUUUUAAUUAUUCCCAACAAAAAUACCUCGGGUGUCUUUGGAGCCCCUUCUCACCUGAUCGGGGAAAGGGGAGACGCCCAAAACCAGGGAAUUUCAACCCAAAACCAGGGAAUUUCAUCCCAAAUCCAGGGAAUUUCAUCUCAAAACCAGGGAAUUUCAGCCCAAAACCUGGGAAUUUCAGUCCAAAACCAGGGAAUUUCAGCCCAAAACCUGGGAAUUUCAGUCCAAAACCAGGGAAUUUAAGCCCAAAACCAGGGAAUUUCAGCCCAAACCCAGGGAAUUUCAGCCCAAAACCAGGGAAUUUCAACCCAAAACCAGGGAAUUUCAUCCCAAAUCCAGGGAAUUUCAUCUCAAAACCAGGGAAUUUCAGCCCAAAAGCAGGGAAUUUCAGCCCAAAACCAGGGAAUUUCAUCACAAAAGCAGGGAAUUUCAUUCCAAAACCAGGGAAUUUCAACCCAAACCAGGGAAUUUCAUCCCAAAACCAGGGAAUUUCAUCCCAAAACCAGGGAAUUUCAUCUCAAAACCAGGGAAUUCCAGCCCAAAGCAAGGGAAUUUCAGCCCAAAGCAAGGGAAUUUCAUCCCAAAACCAGGGAAUUUCAACCCAAAACCAGGGAAUUUUAGCCCAAACCAGGGAAUUUCAACCCAAAACCAGGGAAUUUCAGCCCAAAACCUGGGAAUUUCAGUCCAAAACCAGGGAAUUUAAGCCCAAAACCAGGGAAUUUCAGCCCAAACCCAGGGAAUUUCAGCCCAAAACAAGGGAAUUUCAGCCCAAAACCAGGGAAUUUAAGCCCAAAACCAGGGAAUUUCAGCCCAAAACCAGGGAAUUUAAGCCCAAAACCAGGGAAUUUCAACCCAAAACCAGGGAAUUUCAUCCCAAAACCAGGGAAUUUCAUCCCAAAACCAGGGAAUUUCAACCCAAAACAAGGAAUUGCACCCAAAACCAGGGAUCACACCCAAAACCACCCAAAACCAAAUUUUUUUGGAGUAAAAUGCCGUAGAUUUUUGAAUAUCCUAGACUCGGG
rnacentral:lncRNA from 1 species